rnacentral:rRNA from 1 species
GAACGCUGUAGCAAUACAGAGUGGCAGACGGGUGAGUAACGCGUGGGAACCUUCCCUGUGGUACGGAAUAACUUCGGGAAACCGAAGCUAAUACCGUAUAUCUCCUCCGGGAGAAAGAUUUAUCGCCAUAGGAUGGGCCCGCGUUGGAUUAGCUAGUUGGUAGGGUAAUGGCCUACCAAGGCAACGAUCCAUAGCUGGUCUGAGAGGAUGAUCAGCCACACUGGGACUGAGACACGGCCCAGACUCCUACGGGAGGCAGCAGUGGGGAAUAUUGGACAAUGGGCGAAAGCCUGAUCCAGCCAUGCCGCGUGAGUGAAGAAGGCCUUAGGGUUGUAAAGCUCUUUUGGCGGGGACGAUAAUGACGGUACCCGCAGAAUAAGCCCCGGCUAACUUCGUG